rnacentral:tRNA from 1 species
CGGGGCGUAGCGCAGCCCGGUAGCGCGCACCGUUCGGGUCGGUGAGGUCAUGGGUUCGAAUCCCGUCGCCCCGA